rnacentral:rRNA from 1 species
GACGAACGCUGGCGGCGUGCUUAACACAUGCAAGUCGAACGGAAAGGCCCUGCUUUUGUGGGGUGCUCGAGUGGCGAACGGGUGAGUAACACGUGAGUAACCUGCCCUUGACUUUGGGAUAACUUCAGGAAACUGGGGCUAAUACCGGAUAGGAGCUCCUGCUGCAUGGUGGGGGUGGGAAAGUUUCGGGGGUUGGGGAUGGACUCGCGGCUUAUCAGCUUGUUGGUGGGGUAGUGGCUUACCAAGGCUUUGACGGGUAGCCGGCCUGAGAGGGUGACCGGCCACAUUGGGACUGAGAUACGGCCCAGACUCCUACGGGAGGCAGCAGUGGGGAAUAUUGCACAAUGGGCGGAAGCCUGAUGCAGCAACGCCGCGUGCGGGAUGACGGCCUUCGGGUUGUAAACCGCUUUCGCCUGUGACGAAGCGUGAGUGACGGUAAUGGGUAAAGAAGCACCGGCUAACUACGG